GUAUUGUCACAGAGAUAGGAUUAAGGUAUCAUUUCACUGUUAUUAAAAUUUACUUUGGAAAGGAUCAAUACUUGUCCUCUUCCCAGCAACUGAUGGUUAUCUCCUUCUCAGGGGAAGGAUCAAUGUUUUGGCUUCUCCCUCCCACUCUCCUCCCAGGCCACACACUGUCUUGGGGAGUUGUCAUUGCAGGCUGUCAUUUCCAUAUCCUUCAACCAAGGCCACAGAUAUGGAGCUACACAAGCCCUUUGGAAAAAACAUCAAGAUGCCAUGUACCCCAGAUGCCAGACAUGGAGCUAUAGCACUUGUUUGCACAGAUGGAUUUCAGUCUUGCUUUGGUCCUAUCUCUUCUUUCUACAUCCCUUAUUUGUGAAUGGAAAUGUUUACUCUGUACCUUUAUAUACUGGAUACUUGUAAAUUGCUUUUAAUUUUAUAGGAGCUCACCAUGCAAGAUUGCCUUGAGCCUCAGAGAAGACUUAGGACUUGAACUUUGAGCAAUCUCAGAACUAUUGAGACUAUUGGGGACUCUUGGGAAUGAACUAACUGUAUUAUGCAUUGUCAGAUGAGUGUGGGAUUUUGGGGGCCAGGAUGGAAUGUUAUGGUUUACAUGUGGUGUCCCCCAAAAGCUCACAUGUAAGACAAUGAGAGAAGGUUCAGAGGAGAAAUGAUUGGGUUGUGAGAGUCUUAACACAAUGAAUGAAUUAAUCCCCUGAUAGAGAUUAACUGAGUAGUAAGUGAAGUGGUGGGGUGUGGCUGGAGGAGGUGGGAAUUGGGGGCGUGGCUUUGGGUUUCAUAUUUGUAUCUGGCAAAUGGAGACCUCUCUCUCUGCUUCCUGAUCACCAUGUGAGCUGAAUCCCACUGACACACUCUUCCACCAUGAUGUUCUGCUCACCUGGAGCCCUGAGGAAUGGAGCUGGCCUUUUAUGGACUAAGACCUCUGAAACCAUGAGUCCUCAAAUAAACUUUUCCUCCUAAAA
rnacentral:lncRNA from 1 species